UCAAGUUAUGUGUAGCUGCUGUAAACAUGGACAAAUAUCAAUUAUGCAGGCAUUAGGUGGGUGAGUCAUUAGUACUUGGACGCCCAUAAAGAAACUGCAUUACAUUA